GCUGGGCGUAGUGGUGCACGCCUGUAAUCCCAGCUACUAAGGAGGCUGAGGCAGGAGAAUUGCUUGAACCUAGGAGGCGGAGGUUGCAGUGAGCUGAGAUUGUGCCACAGCACUCCAGCCUGGGCAACAGAGCAAGAUUCUGUCUCAA
rnacentral:SRP_RNA from 1 species